UACGAAGGGGGCUAGCGUUGUUCGGAUUUACUGGGCGUAAAGCGCACGUAGGCGGAUCGUUAAGUCGGGGGUGAAAUCCUGGAGCUCAACUCCAGAACUGCCUUCGAUACUGGCGAGUCUUGAGUCCGGAAGAGGUGAGUGGAACUCCUAGUGUAGAGGUGGAAUUCGUAGAUAUUAGGAAGAACACCAGUGGCGAAGGCGGCUCACUGGUCCGGGUACUGACGCUGGAGGUGACGAAAGCGUGGGGAGCAAACAGGA
rnacentral:rRNA from 1 species